AAAUAUAAAUAUAAACCUCAAUCUGGUUGCUUCUCAAAUGGUAAUGGGCUGGGGGAUGAUCAAAACCUUGGCUAAAGGGUUACUGAGUUUCGUCAUAGCAAAUGUAUCAAAGGACUCAAGAGGAACUACUUUUUAAGCAGGUUAGCCAAAUCUCGGAUACUACAGGCUUCCAUUGGCGUCUGGCUUUCAAUUGAACCACUUGGCCAUCUUCAUAAAACUCAGAUGCUUUGGGAAAAUAAAGAAAAUGAAAUUUAGUGUCACUUAUUUUCUAAUGUAAAUAAUAAAAUUUCCUUUCAUAUUCUUACUACACAAAUAUAAAGCAAGGGUGAUUAAACCAGAGCAAUUCAGCACCUAUUGAAAGGACCCUUACCAGGCUAGGCAGUAAAAUACUGAGCCAACUAGUUAGCCCAGACUAUCCUACCCCCAACACAAA
rnacentral:lncRNA from 1 species